rnacentral:rRNA from 1 species
AUACGGAGGAUGCAAGCGUUAUCCGGAUUUAUUGGGUUUAAAGGGUGCGCAGGCGGCCAUUUAAGUCAGCGGUUAAAUCGUGGGGCUCAACCCCAUUCUGCCGUUGAUACUGGGUGGCUUGAUUGCGGGCGAGGUUGGCGGAAUUCGUUGUGUAGCGGUGAAAUGCAUAGAUAUGGCGAAGUACACCGAUUGCGCAGGAACCUAACCUGUCCGCAAUAUACCCUCAUGCACGAAAGUGCGGAGCUCGAACAGUAUUAGGUGUACUCGUAAGCCGCACAUUAAACGAUGAAUACUUGUCUUUGGCUAUAUAAGGUCGGAGGCCAAGAGAAAGCGAUAAGUAUUCCACCUGGGAAGUACGCCGGCAACGGUGAAACUCAAAUGAAUUAGCGGGG